rnacentral:rRNA from 1 species
GUAGUUUGAUCAUGGCUCAGAACGAACGCUGGCGGCGUGGAUAAGACAUGCAAGUCGAACGGAUCUGUCGGUGUAGCAAUACAUCGGCAGGUUAGUGGCGUAAGGGUGCGUAACACGUGGGCAACCUGCCCGGAAAUGGGGGAUAGCCCGCCGAAAGGCGGAUUAAUACCGCAUGUGACCACUGAAGACAUCUUCAGGACGUCAAAGCUGGGGUCAAAACCUAGCGUUUCCGGAUGGGCCCGCGGCCUAUCAGCUAGUUGGUGAGGUAACGGCUCACCAAGGGCGAUGACGGGUAGCUGGCCUGAGAGGACGACCAGCCACACUGGAACUGAG